rnacentral:misc_RNA from 1 species
GAUUAAGAACGUAGCGAAAUGCGAUAAGUAAUGCGAAUUGCAGAAUUUCCGUGAGUCAUCGAAUCUUUGAACGCACAUUGCGCCCACUGGUAUUCCGGUGGGCAUGCCUGUUCGAGCGUCAUUAUCCUCCCUCAAACCCCGGGUUUGGUGUUGGACCCAAGUUGUGUGAACAACUGGUCUUAAAGACAAUGACGGCGUCCGUGGGACCCUCGGUGCAACGAGCUUUUAGGAGCACGCAUCGAGUUGCAAGGACCUUCCGGGCCGGUCUCCUUUACUAUUUUACAAGGUUGACCUCGGAUCAGGUAGGAAUACCCGCUGAACUUAAGCAUAUCAAUAAGCGGAGGA